GUUUUGCGUGAGGGAUAGAGGCGGUAUCCUUUUAUAAAGCGUAGCGGAAUAAAAGAUUUAGCCGAAAGCCCAGUUCGCU
rnacentral:misc_RNA from 1 species